rnacentral:tRNA from 1 species
GCCUGGCUGGCUCAGUUGGUAGAGCAUGUGACUCUUGAUCUCAGGGUCAUGAGUUCAAACCCACAUUGGGCA